rnacentral:rRNA from 1 species
UACGGAGGAUGCAAGCGUUAUCCGGAAUGAUUGGGCGUAAAGCGUCCGCAGGUGGCAAUGUAAGUCUGCUGUUAAAGAGUCUAGCUCAACUAGAUAAAAGCAGUGGAAACUGCAUAGCUAGAGUACGUUCGGGGCAGAGGGAAUUCCUGGUGUAGCGGUGAAAUGCGUAGAGAUCAGGAAGAACACCAGUGGCGAAGGCGCUCUGCUAGGCCGUAACUGACACUGAGGGACGAAAGCUAGGGGAGCGAAUGGG